rnacentral:lncRNA from 10 species
CCAGCCUCUCAGGCGAUUUUCAUACCUGCAUACUCUGAUCACUACGCUGUUAAACAGUCAAUCACAGCUCUAAUACCUAGAGUGACCUUAUAAUGUAUUGUCCAAAGGAGAUAUUUUUGACAGUGAAAGAGGGUGUUGUUAGUAAUUAUAUCAGGACCAUGGCCUAAACCAGGACUAUCCCAGGCAGCCUGGGACAUAUUUGUACCCCAUCUCUAUUUAAUGCCUUUAUACAAUUCUUAAUUCUACCAGCCUUUAUUGAGCCUGCUUUCUUUGUCUAGCUGAGUGCCACGUGCUGACAUCACUAAGAUCAAUACAGCAAACUCUGAAAGAUGGACGGAGAGACAGGAGAUGGUCCUUUAUAAUGCAGUGUGAUCUGUGCUGCAAUAGAGGUGAGCACAAGCGCCUUACGAAGG